UCCUGAUUGCUGAAUUUGAAAUUGAAUGUAUUCCUCUAUUAUCCAGCCGGGCUCCUGACUUCACAAAAAUAAACAAAACAAAGAAAACUUUGUGCCCCAAUUUGGAAAACAGGGGUUUGUUACCACAUAAUAAUAAGAACUAAACUUGAAUUGUGAUAAGGCUGAAAUGCAACUUUUAAAACUUUUAAAUACAGAAAUGUACCGUAAAAUUUGAAAUUUACCUUAGGUGAAAAAUUCAUCAAACUAAGAUUUUCAUCUUAGGUGAAAGAUUCAACUGACUCAGACUAAGAUUUUCAUCUUAGGAGAAAGAUUCAACAGACUAAGACCUUUAUUAUCUUAGGUGAAAAUUUCAUCACACUAAGAUAUUCAUCUUAUGAGAAAGAUUCAACAGACUAAGAUUCCGACUCUAGGAAAUAAUUCAUCAGACUAGGUCCAUUUUUGUGUGAUCUCAGGAGAAAGAUUCAUCGGACUGAGAUUUUUUCCUCUAUGAGAUAAUUCAUCAGACUACGUCCAUUUUUCGACUUCAGAAUUUCUUAAUUUUCCAAAUUCCAACUUCCUUUAUUUUCAAAUUCUGUCGUCCUUUCUUGUUCCCAAAUUACACAUUCCUUUCUUUUUUCCGACUUUUGCCUUCCCCUUCUUUUUCAAAAUUAUGCCUUCUUUUCUUUUUCCAACUUUUGCCUUUCUUUUUUCCAAAUUAUGCCUUCCUUUCCCUUUUCCAACUUCUGACUUUAUCUCAUCAGACUAAGAUUUUUAUCUUAGGUAAAAAAUUCAUCGGACUAAGAUCUUCUACCUUCAUCUUAUGUGAAAGAUUUAUCAGACUAAGAUUUCUAUCUUAGGUGAAAAAUUCAACAUAUUAUGAUUCUUCUAUUAACCAUUUUCCUCCGAAACAUGUUUUGUAUAGCCUCUUGAAUUAACUUCCUCCAGAACUGCUUUCCUGAAAACUGGUCAUUCACCGAAAAUUACUUUUCUUAAUACUGGUGUUUCUCUCCUGAAAAACUUCCCUCUUUUUUCCUUUUUUCAAAAACUUGUCUUGACCUUCAUGUUCUUCAUAUGGGUAUCCAACUUCAAGAAAAUUUUUGACAUGACAGAGAAUUUUCUGCCCCUGUUUGAUAAUCCUCCAGUAGCAUAUUCUUUCCGCCGUCAAUAACGUUUCCAUGUUCCUAUUUCAAAUCAAGGAAAAUUCCAUCAGUUUAAAGUGCGGUGGUUGGUUGUGGUACUCCUGCUGGGAUGACUUUCCUUUUCUCCUUUCCAUGCCCCGUGUUGUCCGACAAUCUUUGAAACUUGGCUGAUAAUUUUCGCCCUUUUUGAUUACUACCUCUCAAUUAUUACUUCUACUCUUCUGUCAAACCCCAUAUGUUUUCUAUGACAACUGACUCUUCUUGAAGAUCUUGCAUGUUUACUGAUUAACCACUUUCUCCGUCAUCUGCGCCACCAAAAUACUCUUUUCCCCAUUCAUAUCCAAUAUCUUCUGUUGGUUGCACCGCUCAUGAACUGGCAUUUUCCUGACCUUUAAGUCUUACAUCAAUUCCCAAAUUAUGUCUAUUGCCCCCAUAGUAUGUUGUUACUUCUGAAUCACAACCCCUAGUCCCUUGACCCUGAAGUCUAUUUCUCAUUCGCUUGACCCUUGUCACAUAAAAUAUCUAUUCUUCGUUCAAACCCAAUACCCUCCUUCUGUUGCAUUACUGCUGAACCGACAUCUACCAAACUUUGUGUUUCGCCAGGAUCCCAAAGUAUGUUGAUUAUCAUCAGCUCAGUGCUCUUGUUGUUUUCCUAACUUGUGACCCCAUUUUGUACAAUUGGAAAGCUGGUGGCAAUUUUUGAAGUCAUUUCUCACUCAUUACGACCAAAAAGACUCAGAAAAGGAAAAUAAACAAAACAGAGGAAUAAAGUGAAAGACAAAGGAAAGAUACGAUUCUGAAAGAGGAGACUACGAAGUAGAAAACUAUCAGAUGUGAGUACCAACUCUAACGACCACGACAUGCACUUAUAGAUAUUUUGUCAAUCAAUUCUGAUGCUCAGCUAUUGUUGUUCCUUUUUCUGUGAAACUGGGCUUCAAUUCUCCGCUUAUCCCAUUUGAUUCAUAUUCUUUAUUCGGCUUGUAGUGCCCAAGUAGAUAUUCUGUCAACCAAUUCUGACGUUCAGUUGUUGUUGUUCCUUUCGCGGUGAAAUUGGGCUUCAAUGCUCCGCUUAUCCAUUUAAUUCGCAUUCCUUAUUUGGCUUGUAGUGCCCAAAGUGUUUUCACCAACAAACCUCUCUCAUUUUGUUCUUUCUCUCAACUUACCGUCGCCUCAAGGUGCCCGUGAAGGUUUUCACCAAUAAGACUCUCUCAUUUUCUUUGCUCUCAGCUUUCGUUGUCUUGCGGUACCCGUGAGGGUUUUCAUCAUUUCGGCUCUCUCAUUUUCAGUUUUCUUGCUUGGACCCCAGUGGUUUUAUUUCUCUCAGCUUUCAUCGCCUUGCGGUACCCGUGAAGGUUUUCAUCAAUCCGGCUCUCUCUCAUUUUUAUUUUCCUUGCUUGGACCGGAGUGUUGCCCCUGGCAUGAAUUACCCUUACCUGCUUGACUUGGCAUUUUUCAAAAAACUGAUAGGAAGGUCUUUCUUUGGCCUAUGAUGUGGAUUUUGGACGAGGUUAGAAAAGAAGGGUAUAAAAGGCUAAAAAGAAUGUCAAAAUGGGUUAAAAAAUACAACCUUCGAAAUCCUAUUUCUUUCAACAGUCGCAACUUUUGCCCUAGGUUUUUGGUUGGUAACUUUUGGAAUUUUAUUUUGGCAUAAAUGAACCUCAGAGAGGCUGCCUACGUACCCUUUUGGGAUCAAGUCAAACGUAGUUCACGUUAUAGAAACUACGUUGUUGUGAUCUUUCUCUUUUUUCUGUUUUUUCCUUUCUUUUAUUCAUUUUUCUUUUUCUUUCUUUUCUUUCUUCUCUUUCUUUCUUUUCUUUUCUUUCCUUUUCUUUUCUCUUUUUUUUCCUUGUAUUUUUUCCUUUCUUUCUCCUUUUCUCUUCUUCCUUUUCUUCCUUUUUUUCCUUUCUUUCUUUUCUUUUUCCAUUUUUUCAUUUGCUUAUCUCCGACACCUGCGUUUCUUUGAUUGUGCCGUUGACUCCGAAAGAGGGGUAUGAAAGAAAAUAAAUAAGGCUCAAAGAGGGUGACGAAAUGGUAAAGUUUUUUAGAUAUCAGAACAAAGAAUUGACGGCCACACAUUUUCCUUCUAUAUUUGUUAGAUAUAAUGUGCAAUUGGGCAACAUUAUUACUCUUAUUACCUCGAUCGGCCCUUGUUAUUUGGCCAACUUGCCUUUACCGAAUUUUUUCAUGUUUACUUGCCCCAGUUUCACAAGGCUCGGGCUUCAAAUAAUCUCAAAACGUCCAAAUCAGUUCUUAUUACCUUAAGUGCCCUCAUCAUCUUCAAAAUGGUCUCAUUGCUUCCCGACCAAUAUAGCUUUUAAUGAUCUAACUGAGAAUUAUGCAUGCAUGCCAUGUCACUAUAGCCAACAGGAAAAGAAUUGUAGAAAGAAAAGAGAACUAAAAAAUGACUAGAAAUGGAAGAAAAUAGAGAAUUGUAUUAAACAGACGGUGAAAGGGUUUAACAAGCAACACAAAUCGGGAUACAAUCCUAAAACAAACAUAGAUACACUACAUGAGAUAUGACAACUAAAGGAACUAUACAAAUAAAAGGAUUCAAGGGUUUGAAUCAAAAGAAAAUAUCUGGAUUACAACCCUGAAAAUAAUCCGGACAACAGAAAUGACAACAAAAUAAACCACAAAGACUUCUCUCCAGCUAGCCAAGAGAUGAAGCGUCCUUCCAAUUACCAAGCUCAACAUCUUAGCCACCAAGUUUUGAUUCAACAAUACUGAGGCCUUCAAAUAACUCUUCCAAGGAAAUCAUAUCCGGCAUGUGCAUCUCAUUUUGCCCAGACGGCGGACUUUGGCUGGUGUCAGUUGCAUCUAGAUUUGGCACGACAAUAUUGCUAGCAUCAAUAAGCCCCUGAAUUACUUUCUUCAGCUUCCAACACUUUUUUGUGUCAUGUCCCGGGGCAUUUGAGCAAUAUACGCACCUUUGGGAAAAAUCCAACUUCUUUGAAAGAGGGCUUGGUAUUUUUAUCUGAAUAGGCUUCAACACGCCCGAAUUCUUUAGCCUUUGGAACAGAUUAGCGUAUGACUCCCCCAAGGCUGUGUAGGAUUUAUUUUUCUGCAACUUCGUAAUCCUAAAUUCUCGAUUUGGCCAGAAACCUGAUCCAGGGACAUAACAUCGGGGAGGGUCAGCUGGUGUACAAGGAUAUCCAUGGGGCUUAGCAAGAACGGCCACUGGACCCUGUCACCGGUGGAAGGAAUGACUUUGUAUUUGGACAUAUGACGGGAUGUUGUUUGGAGGAUAGUACUGAGGUGGCUUUUGUGGAGUUUGGGGACGUUUACGGGGUCGGUAUGGAGGCUGAAAGCAUUUACCAAGAAUGACCAACGGGCCCUGCUGUUGGUAGAGGGAGUGACCUAGUGUUUGGACACCUGACCGACCAUUAUCUGGAGGAUAAUGCUAAGGUAGCUUAGGUGAGGCUCGGGGACAAGUUUUUUUUUGGAGUUUAGGAUGAAGACACUUGGCAGGAAUGACUACUGGGAUCUGUUGUUGGCGUGGCUCAACAAUAUCUUUUUUAUCAACGGAAGGAGUAUCCUAAGAAACUUGUUCGUUCCAUCUGACCCAAAAUUCUCCGAAACUUCCAUUGGGUUUCUUUUCCAUAUGAGAUGGGAGGACUGGUUUGUGACAAUAUCUUUGUUUUAUUAAAAAUGUCACAAAACAUCCUGAGCCAUGUCGCCUAAUGUGUGCCACUUUCUGACAUCUUGACGAUCAAUCCAUUCCAACACUGCCCCAGUCAGGCUCUCACUAAAAUGCGACAUCCACAACGCAUCUUCCUUGCCGACAUUCCUCGUUUUAUUCUAACAAUCCCUAAAGUGGGCUACUGGAUCUCCCCGCCCAUCAUACAAAUUAAGCUUUGACAUCUUAAACCUUUCCAGCUUUCUGGAUAUCUUAUCCCGCUCCAGUGUUUUACCAAGCUUCGUAGUCUCACGGGGAGACCCAAAAUGAAGAGCAUGAUGGUAUGGACUCGAGGCCUUGACAAUUAGUUCUGGAGCAUGAUGUUGGGCAUCGGGGACUGAUGGCGGAGGAUACCCACUGGCCCAAGCUUUGUGCAUUCCGACUAUCUAUCUUUUCAACCUCAAAACAUCUUCUUUCAACUCAGAUUUUGAUUCAACAAUGCCCCUAGGCGGAUCGGCAAUACCUGUGUUCAACCCUUUGCCAGCCAUGACUGCCCUUCUUUUCGACCUUGUGUUGUAUGGAUGAGUUACCACAAACCAACCACCUCAACUUUCUUCACAAUUCAAAGCAGGACAUGUUAGAAUGGAUUGAGUUGGUCCUCAUUAUCAACAUAUUUUCCAUUUUUUUUUUCUAUAUUCAAUUAUUUUCCAUUUUUUUUGGUUGUAGUCGAAUUUUAUGGAGUUUGCCUACGUAUCAUGACUCUGCAUGAAUCAGACCGUGCGUAGUUCUUGCAAAUAAAAGGUAAACGACAAUAAAACUUUUAUGAAAUUUUUCAUUUUCAUAAUAACAAUAAAACGGACCAACUUAACGGAGGAAUACAGACCCAAAAAUGAAACGACCCAUAUACUCUAAUCAAAAGAAAUACAAACCUAAAAUUAAAAUGACAAAUUCCUUCUUAUAUAUGCCAAUUUUGACCCUAAAUGCGAACGGUAUUCACUUGACCACUGACUCUUCUUUUUUUUUUUCUUGUUUUUCAAAUUAAAAUAAAUGACCCGGUAUUGCAAACACGGCCUUCCAGCGUUCGGGGACGAAGAUUUUAAGCCUGUGAGGGUCAAUAAUCAAAAUAUGAUCAAAGGUGGCUGUUUAUGCAAAGUCAGCCUUCCGACGCCCCGUAUGGGAACAUUUGUCUAUCUUUGACAAUAGCGACAUCACCUGGUUUAUUUAUGACAAAAAUUAAAAUUUUAUAUUUUUUGGGCUAUUUUUGCCAAGGGGGAAGGUUGGACCCGAUGAGGGUUGCCUACGUAUCUCACACCCUGUGAGAAUCAAACCAUGCGUAGUUCGGGUAGAUUAACCGAACCAUUUUAAAAUAAGACUUUUUUUUAUUUUUAUUUUUGAUAUUUCAUAAGCAAAACUAAAAACAUCUACUUUUAGAAGACCCUCUUUUUUUUCCUUUUCUUUUUCCAGCAAACAACAUAUUUUCCCCAAACUAAAAAUAAAAGAUUCUUUUCUUUUUCUUUUUCAGCAAACAAUAAAACAACCCAUUUUUUCCGAACUAAAAAUAAAAGUCUUUUUUUUUUCUCUUCUUUUUUUAUCAAAUAAUAAAAUAACCUAUUUUUUCCAUUGGCAAAUAAACUAUUUUGAAACAAGAAAAACAAAAAAUCAAGAGUUUUUUUUAUCUUUUCAUUUUAAUGGCAAAACAAACUAUUUUUCCUUUUCUAUUUUUGAAAACAAGACAAAAUAAUGACUCUUUUUUUCUUUUCAUUUUAAACAAAACGACGUAUUUUCCCAAACUAAAAUACUUUUUUUUAGCAAACAAUUUUCAAAAAGUGAAAUACUUUUUUUUCUAUUUUUCCUUUUCUUUUUAGUAAAACAAUCUAUUUAAUCUUUUUUUUAUUUUUUUAAAAUUUCGGCUGAGUUUCGGCAGUACUUGGGCAUUGGUUUUUCCAAAACCAAUCAAUUAACUCCCCAACUGCUGUCUUUUUCUCUAUUUUUUAAUUUUCUAACACUCCCCAAAUUUAAAAAGCCGAUCAACAUACCGGCCGAAACAAAUAAAUGCACAGAAAAAUAAGUAGGAUGCAUCCCGAUGGUAUUUUUCUUUUGAGGUUACUUAUCCUAGACGGACCCAACCCCUGUGUUAAGUCCCCUAAGUCAACAUGCAUAUGAUGCAGAUAAGCGUUCCUACUAGGGAUUUGGCAUGAAGUUGAGUUAUUCAAGGCUCAAAACCUGGGUGUUUGUUUUAAACCUGGCUUACCCGAGCGGACAGUUCGAGCCGAGUGGGAGGCAGCAGCCCGGGAAUGCAGAAGCUUCGCCGAUUUUGUUGGAAAUUGGACACUAUGCAGAAAAGAAGUCGUACGAAGUACACCCUUCUUCAUGAUUAAGAGGACUCAGAGAGGAGAUUGCUUUCGGCACAAUUUAUAUACAGCUCACGUAAUAUUAAAGCGGUAAAAGUAGUCAACUAGCACAUUUAGCACAUAUCAUGUAACAAAAUCAGAUACAACCAAACGCAUCAAUUAUUCCAAGCUCGAAUCUGAAGCCUGAACACAACGUUCUAGGUUCUUGUCCCCAGCAGAGUCGCCAGAGCUGUCACACCUACUUUUCAAUAUACACCCUCAAGGGCGUAAAGGAGUUUUCCAAUUAAAGGAUAAUCGGAGCAGAAUUUAUUAUUAAUUAUUCAGAGUCGCCACUUGGGGGAUUAAUGGUGUCCCAAGUCACCCGUUGGAUCUCGAAUCGAGGAAAAAGAUGACUCUGUUCACAAACCGCGAACCAGAAAUUCGGAUAAGGAAUUUUGUUAACCCGGGAGAAGAUGUUAGGCGUUCUCGGGUUCCCUUGUUCUAGCACGGCCGCUUUACUGUUGCAUUUAGCUUUUAUCUGAUUUUAUUACAUGAAGAGCCUAUGUGCCAAUUUUUUUUUUACCUUUUACAUCUUUUAUUCAAUAAUUAUUUAUUUAAGAGAAAGUGAACGUCGUUUAAAGAGUUCUUUCGGAUCGCGUCACAUAAAAUGCACCCCCAAUCCUAGGCCCACUCUAUUCAUCGUUUGGGAUUUGAUUUGGGUCUCAUGAAAUGCACACGCGAGUUUAAGAAGGUAAUUUUAUUAGAAUCGCGUAUAGAAGGGUCUAACACGUUAUUAUCUUUUGGAAGGAUAGUGAAAUUUGCUAAACGGCACUUCCUAAUUUUCUAAGUAUUUUUAGGAAAACAAUUAAAUGAGGGUCACACAUUUUGAGAUUUUUAUUUGACGAGGCUCGCCUCAAUUCCAAUUUUAAAGGAUUGUACUCAAUUAAAGCAAACUAUGGUAUUGUUAUUUUCCAAUGUGAAAUGACCAGCUAAAUGAAUUUAUAAAGAAAGAGCCACUUAUAGCAUUCUGCUAGACCGGGCUAGCGGCUCUAGCCGAAUUUGUUUUUUAUCCAACUUCCAAAUUUCAAUUAGUGAAUCCUAUAGUCCCAUUUAGUCCAUAAAUGUCAGAAACUAAAUUUUAAUUGUUAAAUUAAUAUAAACACCUAACAAGAGUAACAUCUGGGGAAGGACGCUAUAAAUAAAGGAAAUCAAAACACUAAAACUAAACAUGAAGCGAGGGGAAACAAUUUCAACCCUAAAUUUCGAUAUUCUACAAAUUCAACAAGAAAUAACAAAUGAAACCAAGGAAAAUUCAGCUAGAUACGUAAGGUUGCAAAGCUAUCCAUUAAUUUGAAAUAAAAAUCCAUGAGUGUACCUUCCAGUUGAAAGACUUCUUAACCUUUUAAGGAGAAGCUUCAAUUUGAAAAUGGACAAUGACACGUCUAAAAAAAAUCACUGGUCGGAGCUCGAACAGCGACCUCAAUCAAAAUGCCUUUGUAUUAAAUGAAUUGAGUUGUAAAUACAAACUUGACGAUCUUUCUAUCUCGACCAUGAAACUAUACCGGCAGCCUCGGACCCAAACCCGAAUCAACUCCAGUUCAUCUCGUUGGACCCAAACUCAGACUCAACUCAAUGGCAAAGCUCAAACGACACACUCAAUCUCGGAGCAAUUGACCUCCAAUUGUUUUUCGGUUUCUUUAACGAUUUCUGACCAAAGACAUUUCCAAUUUCUCGUUCUCCUCCACUGUUUUUGUCCGUCCUCCUCUGUCCCGUUUAUGGACUCUUCCUAUUUUACUCUCUUUUCUUUAUCUAUGUGUAUUUGUUUAUGUAAAAGAUGAAAGAGAUUUUCUCAACCCAUAUCCAAAUUUCCGUUUAUGUGUAUGUGUAUAUUAGGGUGAGUCGGCAGUGAUUCGUUUUGGAGCAGGGAGAUGGGGAAUGAUGGAGGUGAGGAAGGAGAGUUUCCGUGGUGUGUAGAUGAUGACUGUGAGGUGAGGUCCGAUUUUUCGUGUGAUUUUUUGUGUAGUCUUUUUGUGUGGUUUUUUUCAUUGUGUAGAGAAUAGUUUUAUAGAGUUUGUGGAAUGUGGUGUUAUGUGGGAAAGUUUUAUUUGGGGAGAAGGUAUUAUGUGAGGUAAUAUUUUGGGAUGAAGGUUUAGACGUGGAAAUUUUUU
rnacentral:lncRNA from 1 species